rnacentral:rRNA from 1 species
UACGUAGGGUGCGAGCGUUAAUCGGAAUUACUGGGCGUAAAGCGUGCGCAGGCGGUUUUGUAAGCCAGAUGUGAAAUCCCCGGGCUUAACCUGGGAACUGCAGUCGAGACUGUCUAGCUAGAGUAUGGGGAGAGGGAAGUGGAAUUUCAGGUGUAGCGGUGAAAUGCGUAGAUAUCUGAAGGAACAUCAGUGGCGAAAGCGACUUCCUGGACCAAUACUGACGCUCAUGUGCGAAAGCGUGGGGAGCAAACAGGG